rnacentral:rRNA from 1 species
UACAGAGGUCUCGAGCGUUGUUCGGAUUCAUUGGGCGUAAAGGGUGCGUAGGUGGCGUGGUAAGUCUGGUGUGAAAUCCCGGGGCUCAACCCCGGAACUGCACUGGAUACUGCCAUGCUUGAGUACUGGAGAGGAGAUUGGAAUUUACGGUGUAGCAGUGAAAUGCGUAGAUAUCGUAAGGAAGACCAGUGGCGAAGGCGAAUCUCUGGACAGUUACUGACACUGAGGCACGAAGGCCCAGGGGGAGCAAAACGGG